AUCUCGUUCUUCAUUGUAUUGUAUAAUGGCAAUAAAGAAUAUUCUAUUCUAUUCUAAAAAGCUUCAAAAACUCACUAAAAAUGCUGCUUUUACUUGAAAAUAUCAUCACAUCGACAUGAACUUUAGUGCAUUUUAAUCUUCAUUGUUGAUUUUAGGUAAAUAUCAGGCAAAGUGCAGCUAAAAGUAACAAGAACUAACACAUAAAUAGAAGUUUUUAGUUCAGUUUAGGAGUUUUCUUUCGCUAACGGAUGCAGAUGUUGAACAUGUUUCCACUCAGGAUGAUUAAAAGCUGAAUAAAUGUUCAGAGGUUAAAGUGGACAAACUGAAAUAAAACGUACCUUCUGUUCUGGUUCCUCCACAGGUUUGUGGUUCCUCUGCUGGUUUGUGGUUCCUCUGCUGGUUUGUGGUUCCUCUGCUGGUUUGUGGUUCCUCUUCAGGUUUGUGGUUCCUCUGCUGGUUUGUGGUUCCUCUGCUGGUUUGUGGUUCCUCUGCUGGUUUGUGGUUCCUCUUCAGGUUUGUGGUUCCUCUGCUGGUUUGUGGUUCCUCUUCAGGUUUGUGGUUCCUCUGCUGGUUUGUGGUUCCUCUUCAGGUUUGUGGUUCCUCUGCUGGUUUGUGGUUCCUCUUCAGGUUUGUGGUUCCUCUGCUGGUUUGUGGUUCCUCUGCUGGUUUGUGGUUCCUCUGCUGGUUUGUGGUUCUCUGCAGCUCGUCGUUGAUCUGAUUGAGAGAUUUAGUCCAGAGAGAAGCUCAGCUCCUCCGAUCCUCCUCCUUCAUCAUCAUCAUCUGCCUCCUUCCUCUUUGUUCUUUUAGUUUUUUCUCUUCAGAAGCCACGCCUCCUUUCCUCUCACGCCUCUUUUCCUUCAUCCUGUCCCCAUCUACAUGUUUAUCUGGACGUAGCCGAUCCAAAAAGUGAUUUAUAGCGACUUUUACCACAUUUCAAGUCGGUUUGGACGUUUUUUAAGACAUUUCCAACAAUUCUUGAGUCAAUUCGGACACCUUUGCAUCAUUUUGUACGGAUUCGAGUUUUCUGUGACAAUUUCUGAACUUAUGUUGGACAAGUUUCAAGACAUUUUGAGCAACUUUUAAAAUCAUUUUGAGCACUUGUUUCCAGAAUUCUUUAAAGAGUCUGUCCAAGAACUAAUUUCCAAACUAAACCUAAACUGGAAACCCUUUCAUUGGAUCAAGAUGUUAAAACAAAAACCACAGAAACGGCUGAAAUUCAUCCUGACCGUCUCUAGCACCACAUCCCACUGAGUUCUGUCUCUUUUCCAGCCAGAAGAAACCUGUUGAUCCAAAAUAAAACCUCUGUAGAUGAUUGAUUUGAGCUUUAACGGUGUGUAUUCGUGUGUUUUCAGUUUGACCUCCACUUUAAAUCCCUUCCAACGCCAACGUCAGCCUCCUCCUCUCAGCUCACCUACAUCUCAGCACCAGAGUAAUUAGCCUGAUUAAUUCCUCGUCUGACGACGGCCAACGAAUCAGGACGGCAGAUGGUGGCUUUGGGGUCGGACGGAAUCACAACACAAACAGUGGAGGCGUUGAUCAGAGACUUGAGAUCACAGGUUCAGACACGGCAGCAGAUGUUCCUCUCAGUUCAACAGAACCUCUUCAGUCUGAAUCACUGGAUUUUUAUUCCUUUGUAGAUUUAAAGCUGCUGACAGCUUCUAAAAUCUGACUUCAAACCAUGAAGAUGUGAUCCGUCAGGAAUUAGGUGACAAUAACAUUAAAGACGAGCAGACAGAUUACUACAGACGUCCCUCCAGUUAAUUUGACACCUGCCGGAGGAUUAAGCAGAUGAUCCGGUGAGUGAACACGGUCACAAAUCAAAGUUCAUGACCCAACUCUGACUCUACUCGCUCUACGUCACCGGAAUGAGGUUCAGAGUGUCUGAACAGGAAGUCUGAAAACUCCUCAACAAUCACUACAACCUCCUACUCUGGUUUACGGACAUCUACAGAAAUAUUUACUUCCUGUUUGUCUCUGUCAGGUUCCUCAGGGAUCCUGAUCAGCAGAAACUUUCAGGUCCAGACUCUAGUUUUCAUCAGGAUGGAGGUCUGGACUCUGACUCCUCCAGAACUUCCACCUUGUUAACUUCAAACAUCUCUGAGGAUCUUUGUCUGUUUGCUUCAUCGUCUGGAUGGAAAAGUGAUCUUCUUCACAUCUCAUCAUCAGGUUGUUCAUUUACCCUCUACCUUUGCCAGCCUUCCAGGACCUGCUGCUGAGGAACACCAUGAUGCUGCCACCACCAUGCUUCUUAUAAUCUAGUCUGAUGGACAUAAAGCUCCAUCCUGGUCUCCUCAGACCAAAGAACCUUCUUCCAGGUGUCUUCAGAGUCUCCACAUGUCUUCUGGUGAACUCUAGUCCACAUUUAAUUGGAGCUUUUUCCAUCAGAGUCUUUCUCUUUGUCUCCAUGAAGCUUUGACUGGUGAAGAACAGACAACAGUUGUUGGAUGAACAGUCUGAAGCUUGAAAUCCUUCAGAGGAGUCAUAGGAGUCUUGGUGGCCUCCCUCUCUAGUCGCUUUCUCCUUCAGAGAAGUCAGAGUCUUGGUGGCCUCCCUCUCUAGUCUCUUUCUACUUCAGAGGAGUCAUAGGAGUCUUGGUGGCCUCCGUCUCUAGUCUCUUCUCCUUCAGAGGAGUCAUAGAGUCUUGGUGGCCUCCCUCUCUAGUCUCUUUCUACUUCAGAGGAGUCAUAGAGUCUUGGUGGCCUCCCUCUCUCGUCUCUUUCUCCUUCAGAGGAGUCAUAGAGUCUUGGUGGCCUCCCUCUCUAGUCUCUCAGGUCUUGAGGACGUCCUGCUCUAGUCACAUUUAUUCAUGUUCCAUCUUCUUCCAUUUCUUAAUGAUGGAUUUAACUGGACUCCAGGAGAUCUUCAGGAACUUUAAAUCUUCUUGUAUUGUCCUGACUGAUGCUCUUCAACAACCUAUCCACCAGAGACUGGAGCUUCCAGACUUCCUUCAUCCUGAUCUAAGUAGAUAAAAGUUUUUGUCUGCAUCUCCUGUUUUUACUUUUGUCGACAGAAAUCAGAUGUUUUUAUGUGGAUCCAGGAAACGUUCUGUUUCUGUACACAUUUGGAUAAGAGGGACCAAACAUCCAACAUUCAGACCCCAUGCCUUUGUGUUCAGACUAUUAUGGGAUGCCUGGAGAUGUUGGUUUUGGAUGUUUAUUGUUAAUGGGUCACAGCCAGCCGGUUCUUCUGUCUAUCAAUCUCAUUACCUCGCGUGAAUUAGGCUCUGAGGAAGCCAACGAACACCAACAGAUUUAUGGCUCACAGCCAAAGACACGAGAACACGAACCCUGAAGAACGUCUGCAGGAUGGAGGUAACGCAAAACUACUGUGAGUAAAUGCAAAAGUAUUGCUAUGUGAUGCAAAGUAUUGCAAGGGAACACAAAGUACGAUAAGGUAACAAGAGAACAAAAGUAUUGCAAGGUAACACAACAAAACUCAGAGAGAACACAACGUAUGCAUGGUCACACAAAAGUACUGUAAGGUAACAAAGGAGUACUGCAAAGUAACACAAAGCUGCUGUGAUAAACUGAGCUUCCCGGGGGGCAAAUAGAUGUGACAAGGGGAAAAUGCUCAAACAAAUUUGUUAGAAAUCUCAUACAACCAAAAACAAGAGCUGCAGCUGUGUCUCACUGGAACUCUUUGUACGGUGAGACGGACCGGG